AACAAACACAUGAUUUCAUGUAGACACAUGGAUGAAUUGUUGUGACCAUGUGGAUAUUAAUCAAGGAGAUAGAAUAUAGAGAUGGUUAAUUGGCGAGCUUGAAAUUGAUUUUAAAAAUUAUUAUGAAACAACCAACAAAUUGCUCUGAUCCGAUGUCAUGUCAACAUGUAACCAAGAGGGAAAACUUUCUUGAAAAGCAUUGGAAAAAAAAUCUCUGAAUGUCUGAAUGUUUAUUUGGCAUUUGUGAAGCAAUGCACAAAGGGAGUGAACAAACAAAUUCGUCAUGAUCCCUCAGUCAUCCUAACAUCCUUAUAUAUUAAUCUCCUAGUUAAGUUCUUACUUGAGGCGACAACGGGUCUGGAAAGAAUAAUGAACGAAGAAUUAAACUAAUGCUUAGAGAUUAAUCCUCCCGCAUGGGCAGAACCACACACACCACACAAUGCAAAAGCAGCCCGCGAUGCAGCACACGCACAAUCAACAAAACAAACAUAAUAUAUAGUGAGCACGAAUUUAGAACCAUAAAAGUAGCAAGGGAAAAAGAAGAAGAAUAUGAAGAGAACGUCGUUCGGUGGGACUUAAUGCCCCUGCUGAAAAUGAGGAUAUGGGAAGUUAAAGCUUCAUGGAGAAACUACGGAUCAGAAGAUUGUGGAUCAUUGAGCCCCAUGUACAAAAAAGGGCACUAUCCUGCAGCAAAAAUACAUUAAAGAAAUCACAUCUAAAGGAGAGUAGGGUAUGUUCACUUGUUCAGAACUACAACUAAAAAUGCAAGAAGGAGCGGGGGCUUUUAUAAGCAUAUACGGGCGAUAGAGUUGCGGCAAGCUGGACACAAGAUGGGCGGCUAAGCGGUGCAUGUUGAUCUAUUCACUAGAGUCUUCAAGAGAGAGUCAAAGAGGACAUGUGGAGGAAAU
rnacentral:lncRNA from 1 species